UACGAAGGGGGCUAGCGUUGUUCGGAAUGACUGGGCGUAAAGCGCACGUAGGCGGCUUGUUUAGUCAGAGGUGAAAUCCCGGGGCUUAACCCCGGAACUGCCUUUGAUACUGGCAAGCUUGAGUCCGGAAGAGGGUGACGGAAUACCCAGUGUAGAGGUGAAAUUCGUAGAUAUUGGGUAGAACACCAGUGGCGAAGGCGGUCACCUGGUCCGGUACUGACGCUGAGGUGCGAAAGCGUGGGGAG
rnacentral:rRNA from 1 species